rnacentral:rRNA from 1 species
GAUGAACGCUGGCGGCGUGCCUAAUACAUGCAAGUCGAGCGAACAGACGAGGAGCUUGCUCCUCUGACGUUAGCGGCGGACGGGUGAGUAACACGUGGAUAACCUACCUAUAAGACUGGGAUAACUUCGGGAAACCGGAGCUAAUACCGGAUAAUAUAUUGAACCGCAUGGUUCAAUAGUGAAAGACGGUUUUGCUGUCACUUAUAGAUGGAUCCGCGCCGCAUUAGCUAGUUGGUAAGGUAACGGCUUACCAAGGCAACGAUGCGUAGCCGACCUGAGAGGGUGAUAGGCCAAACUGGAACGGGGAAACGGUCCAAACUCCGACGGGAGGGAGCAGGAGGGAAUCUUCCGCAAUGGGCGAAAGCCUGGCGGAGCAAAGCCGCGUGAGUGAAGAAGGUCUUCGGAUCGUAAAACCCUGUUAUUAGGGAAGAACAAAUGUGUAAGUAACUAUGCACGUCUUGACGGUACCUAAUCAGAAAGCCACGGCUAACUACGUG